rnacentral:rRNA from 1 species
UACGUAGGUGACAAGCGUUGUCCGGAUUUACUGGGCGUAAAGAGCGCGCAGGCGGUCGAUCAAGUCGAGUGUGAAAGCCCCCGGCUCAACUGGGGAGGGUCAUUCGAAACUGGUCGACUCGAGGGCAGGAGAGGGUAGUGGAAUUCCCGGUGUAGUGGUGAAAUGCGUAGAUAUCGGGAGGAACACCAGUGGCGAAGGCGACUACCUGGCCUGUUCUUGACGCUGAGGCGCGAAAGCUAGGGGAGCAAACGGG